rnacentral:rRNA from 1 species
GCUACGGCAGUACAAAGUACUGGGUAGGGGAGCAUUCACUACGGGCAGAAGCUAAACCGGAAGGAUUGGUGGACUGUAGUGAAGAGAGAAUGUUGGCAUGAGUAGCGAGACGUAGGUGAGAAUCCUACGGGCCGAAAACCUAAGGUUUCCUGAGGAAGGUUCGUCCGCUCAGGGUAAGUCGGGACCUAAGCCGAGGCCGAAAGGCGUAGGUGAUGGACAACAGGUUGAGAUUCCUGUACCACCGAUAACCGUUUGAGGGAAGGGAUGACGCAGAAGGAUAGGCUAUCCUACUGAUGGAGAAGUAGGUCCAAGCAUUGAGGGAGUUUUGGUAGGCAAAUCCGCCAAAACAAAUCCUA